GUGUGUGGCUCAGUGGUAGAGCGCUUGCCCCUAGCGCAUGUGAGGCCCUGGGGUUUGAUCCUCAGCACCACA
rnacentral:tRNA from 1 species